CAGACAUAAUUAUUUAUCUGUCUUCCAUACAUGUAGCAAAAUAAUGCAGAGGCCAUAUGAAUUCAUCUUGACUAAGGCACUGCAUCUGAACAGUCACAACCUCACAGAGCAGCACAACCACCCCACUCAGGAUCAGUGUUAUGGUGCCAUUUUGAAGCUGGAACCUCAUCUUGUGUACAGAAAAAGUAGAGUUGAAAUUUCACUGGUUGUCUUGUAUUGUGUGUGGCAAAACCUGGGAUAACACAUGGGAGCCUUCCAGGAAUUUCCGACACUUUACACCCAAGUCUCCUCAUGCCAACCGGUUUGCAAUAUGACAGUCUAGUCACCAUAAACACCUGGACUCGCCAAGCACACAUUGGUUCUCAGUGUUUUGUAAAAAUGUUGCUGUUCUUCAGUAAGUACUUGAAUAUGUUUUUGAAAAGUGUUAUAGCU